GAUGAACGCUAGCGGCGUGCCUUAUGCAUGCAAGUCGAACGGUCUUAAGCAAUUAAGAUAGUGGCGAACGGGUGAGUAACGCGUAAGUAACCUACCUCUAAGUGGGGGAUAGCUUCGGGAAACUGAAGGUAAUACCGCAUGUGGUGGGCCGACAUAUGUUGGUUCACUAAAGCCGUAAGGCGCUUGGUGAGGGGCUUGCGUCCGAUUAGCUAGUUGGUGGGGUAAUGGCCUACCAAGGCUCCGAUCGGUAGCUGGUCUGAGAGGAUGAUCAGCCACACUGGGACUGAGACACGGCCCAGACUCCUACGGGAGGCAGCAGCAAGGAAUCUUGGGCAAUGGGCGAAAGCCUGACCCAGCAACGCCGCGUGAGGGAUGAAGGCUUUCGGGU
rnacentral:rRNA from 1 species